AUACGGAGGGUGCAAGCGUUAUCCGGAAUCACUGGGUUUAAAGGGUGCGUAGGCGGCUAAAUAAGUCAGAGGUGAAAUCUUCCUGCUUAACGGGAAAAUUGCCUUUGAAACUGUAUAGCUUGAAUUAAGUUGAGGUUAGCGGAAUGUGACAUGUAGCGGUGAAAUGCAUAGAUAUGUCAUAGAACACCAAAUGCGAAGGCAGCUGGCUAGGCUUAUAUUGACGCUGAGGCACGAAAGCGUGGGGAGCGAACAGGAUUAGAUACCCUAGUAGUCC
rnacentral:rRNA from 1 species